UGGAAGUUAAUAAGCUGAAGGUGGUCACA
rnacentral:piRNA from 1 species